UACGUAGGGCGCAAGCGUUAUCCGGAAUUAUUGGGCGUAAAGAGCUCGUAGGCGGUUUGUCGCGUCUGCCGUGAAAGUCCGAGGCUCAACCCCGGACUUGCAGUGGGUACGGGCAGACUAGAGUGUGGUAGGGGAGACUGGAAUUCCUGGUGUAGCGGUGAAAUGCGCAGAUAUCAGGAGGAACACCGAUGGCGAAGGCAGGUCUCUGGGCCACUACUGACGCUGAGAAGCGAAAGCAUGGGGAGCGAACAGG
rnacentral:rRNA from 1 species